rnacentral:rRNA from 1 species
GAAGAGAGAGUUCAAGAGAACGUGAAAUCACUUGGAGCGAAGCGGAUAGAGUUAACGAAACGGGCGACAUUCAGGUCGUGCGUUGCCGUGAGGCGGCUGGUGCCUUUAAUGGUGUCGUAAGUCCGAUAAGCGGUGGCGAUGCGUACUGCACUUGUCGUUCGUAUACGCUGAGGCGGUCGAUUGCCCUUUCCGAACUUGGUUGCGUGGCCCAACGCGUUUGGUGUCCUGCUGCCGGGGUAGGUUGCGUGGCGGUUGGCUGUUAGUGCGUUCCUAGCUUCUGCGCGUUGUGCGCUUGACGGCGUCGUGGGUGGCGUCGGAGGCUUGCCUCUUGGUGUUGCUAGCGGUGUCGGCUUGUGUGCUGCGCAUUGGAACGUUCUCGGUGUCUAAAAGUUAACGACCUAUCCGACCCGUCUUGAAACACGGACCAAGAAGUCUAGUAUGUGCGCGAGUCAUUGAGUGGAAAACUCAUAUGGCGUAAUGAAAGUAAAGGUCGCUUUGCGCGGCUGAUAUGUGAUCCGUGGACGUCUGUCUGCGGCGCAACAUAGCCCCAUGCUGAUUGCUUGCAAUGGUGUGGCGGUAGAGCGUACAUACUGGGACCCGAAAGAUGGUGAACUAUGCUUGAGCAGGACGAAGUCAGAGGAAACUCUGAUGGAGGUCCGUAGCGGUUCUGACGUGCAAAUCGAUCGUCGGACUUGAGUAUAGGGGCGAAAGACUAAUCGAACCAUC